rnacentral:rRNA from 1 species
GAUGAACGCUGGCGGCGUGCCUAAUACAUGCAAGUCGAGCGAACAGACGAGGAGCUUGCUCCUCUGACGUUAGCGGCGGACGGGUGAGUAACACGUGGAUAACCCACCUAUAAGACUGGGAUAACUUCGGGAAACCGGAGCUAAUACCGGAUAAUAUAUUGAACCGCAUGGUUCAAUAGUGAAAGACGGUUUUGCUGUCACUUAUAGAUGGAUCCGCGCCGCAUUAGCUAGUUGGUAAGGUAACGGCUUACCGAGGCAACGAUGCGUAGCCGACCUGAGAGGGUGAUCGGCCACACUGGAACUGAGACACGGUCCAGACUCCUACGGGAGGCAGCAGUAGGGAAUCUUCCGCAAUGGGCGAAAGCCUGACGGAGCAACGCCGCGUGAGUGAUGAAGGUCUUCGGAUCGUAAAACUCUGUUAUUAGGGAAGAACAAAUGUGUAAGUAACUAUGCACGUCUUGACGGUACCUAAUCAGAAAGCCACGGCUAACUACGUG